rnacentral:rRNA from 1 species
ACUCCUACGGGAGGCAGCAGUAGGGAAUCUUCCACAAUGGGCGCAAGCCUGAUGGAGCAACACCGCGUGAGUGAAGAAGGGUUUCGGCUCGUAAAGCUCUGUUGUUAAAGAAGAACACGUAUGAGAGUAACUGUUCAUACGUUGACGGUAUUUAACCAGAAAGUCACGGCUAACUACGUGCCAGCAGCCGCGGUAAUACGUAGGUGGCAAGCGUUAUCCGGAUUUAUUGGGCGUAAAGAGAGUGCAGGCGGUUUUCUAAGUCUGAUGUGAAAGCCUUCGGCUUAACCGGGGGAAGUGCAUCGGAAACUGGAUAACUUGAGUGCAGAAGAGGGUAGUGGAACUCCAUGUGUAGCGGUGGAAUGCGUAGAUAUAUGGAAGAACACCAGUGGCGAAGGCGGCUACCUGGUCUGCAACUGACGCUGAGACUCGAAAGCAUGGGUAGCGAACAGGAUUAGAUACCCUGGUAGGAUAGCG